rnacentral:rRNA from 1 species
AGAGUUUGAUCCUGGCUCAGGACGAACGCUGGCGGCGUGCCUAACACAUGCAAGUCGAACGAGGUCGCCUUCGGGCAAUGACCAAGUGGCGAACGGGUGCGUAACACGUGAGGAACCUGCCCCGAAGACUGGGACAACCACGGGAAACUGUGGCUAAUACCAGAUGCCCUCCGCUGAUCGCAUGAUCGGCGGAGGAAAUGCUCCGGCGCUUCGGGAGGGCCUCGCGGCCUAUCAGCUUGUUGGUGGGGUAACGGCUCACCAAGGCAUCGACGGGUAGCUGGUCUGAGAGGACGAUCAGCCACACUGGGACUGAGACACGGCCCAGACUCCUGCGGGAGGCAGCAGUGGGGAAUCUUGCGCAAUGGGCGAAAGCCUGACGCAGCAACGCCGCGUGGGGGAUGAAGGCUCUCGGGUUGUAAACCCCUUUCAGCAGGGACGAAAUGACGGUACCUGUAGAGAAGCCCGGCCAANUACGUGCCAGCAGCCGCGGUAACACGUAGGGGGCGAGCGUUGUCCGGAANUANUGGGCGUGAAGAGCUNGUAGGCGGUUGGUAAGUCAGAUGUGAAAGGUUGGGGCUCANCCCUAAGACUGCAUCCGAUACUGCUAUGACUAGAGUNCGGUAGAGGAGUGUGGAAUUCCUGGUGUAGCGGUGAAAUGCGCAGAUAUCAGGAGGAACACCGACGGCGAAGGCAGCACUCUGGGCCGGUACUGACGCUGAGGAGCGAAAGCGUGGGUAGCAAACAGGAUUAGAUACCCUGGUAGUCCACGCCGUAAACGAUGUACAUUAGGCGUUCGGCUAGGUUGCUAGUUGAGUGUCGCAGCAAACGCGAUAAAUGUACCGCCUGGGGAGUACGGUCGCAAGGCUAAAACUCAAAGGAAUUGACGGGGGCCCGCACAAGCAGCGGAGCGUGUGGUUUAAUUCGAGGCUACGCGAAGAACCUUACCUGGGAAUGACAUGUUGGUAGUACGGAAGCGAAAGCGGAAGGACCUUUCGGGGAGCCAACGCAGGUGCUGCAUGGUUGUCGUCAGCUCGUGCCGUGAGGUGUUCGGUUAAGUCCGCAAACGAGCGCAACCCUCGGUGCUAGUUACAAGUGUCUAGCAUGACUGCCCAUGACAAAUGGGAGGAAGGCGGGGACGACGUCAAAUCAGCAUGGCCUUAAUAUCCAGGGCGACACACACGCUACAAUGGUCGGUACAAUGGGUAGCGAAGUAGCGAUACGGAGCCAAUCCUAUAAAGCUGGUCUCAGUUCGGAUUGCAGGCUGCAACUCGCCUGCAUGAAGUCGGAGUUGCUAGUAACCGCGAAUCAGCACGUUGCGGUGAAUACGUUCCCGGGCCUUGUACACACCGCCCGUCACGUCAUGGGAGUUGGUCGAGCCUGAAGUCGGGAAGCUAACCGUUCGGGGGCUA